GCAAAUGGUUGGGGUGGGACACGGGUAAACCCAUCACUCCCGUAAGCCCAUAUAUAUUCAUCCUAACUUUCAUGCCACUAAAACCUAACCCUAAUAGAGAUGGCCGCCACCACCUUCCUUCUCCAACUCCGGCGCCGCAUCCCUUAUGCCGCCUGUCAUCGUCGGUGUCGUUCACCAGCCACAAAAGGCAUGAGCCACUACCCAUACUCUCCCCAAUCGUUAUCUUGGAGCUUCUCUGCCACCGAAUCCAGUCGCCACCUUCGCUUCCUCCUAUCUCCGAUGCCACUACCAUUUCGUCGGUUCCAAUCAACCGAGGCCAACGAGUCCACCCACCAUGACCAGAGAAACUGAAGACCACCGGGGGGCCAACGGACGAUCCUUCAUCGCUGUCAGGUUCCUUUUUCCCCAGCCGCCGCUACGCUGUCGCUGUUGGAGUCGGAGCUGCCGACGAGGACCGAGCAUCGUUUCUUCGCCGCUGUUGGACUGUACUGAUGCCCGUUGUCUGCCAUUGCCACCGUUAACACUGCUGCUACCGCCAUGCUCGCUGCCGUUUCUGUUCCGACUGCCGCCAUGCUCGGUGGGCGUUUUGUACGUGUGUGUGCAUGGUUCUGUAUGUGUCGGCGUGUGGGCAUGUUUAUGAGCUGGUCGGAAAACGUUGGGAGCCACCAUGGUGGCUAUUGGCCGGUUGCUGCUCUUCUGCCGCCAUAGACCACCACCAGCCACCAUGAGGUGGCUGCGCGCGUGUGUGUUUAUUAGUGUGUGUGUGUGUGUGUUAUUAGUGUGUGUGAAUUUGGAUUAUAUUGUAAAUUGUAACCAUAUCAGAAAAGUGAAAAGGAAACCUAAAACGACCACCGUGAAGUGGUGGCUGCCGCCUCCUGCCGCCACUGGCCCCCGUGUCGGGUGGCGGUGUACUUUGCUUUGUUUUGUUGGAUCCGUUUAGGAGCCUUGAAACCUUAAUGGGCCCAAUGAAGCCCUAAUAGGUCCAAGGAAACCCUAAUUAAUCUAAUAAAACCCUAAUAGGCCCAAUGAGGCCCAAAGUAACCUAAAAGCCUAACCAAGUAACUAAUGGGUUAAUAUUGGGAAGGAAACCCAAAAUAGGGUUUGGAAAACCCUCAUGGCAUAAAACCCUAAAUUUUGAGAAUUAAUCGGGACACACGAGAAUUAAUUAAUAACUUGAAAUAUUAAAUGACUAUCAUUAGCAAAUUAACCUAAAGCAUUAUUGGACUUAAUGGGUUAAGUCCUUAAUGGGUUAAGUUAGAGAUACUUAACCCUAAUUGUCAUUUUAUGUGAAACCCUAAUUUCACUUUGGGUUUGUAUUGGGAUUUUCCAUUGGGUUUUGGUAAUUGGAUUAUUAAUGGAGCAUCCAAGAAUGAUCAUAUGGACUAGAAUAUGUUGAUGGGCUUUAGGGUAAGGCCCAUAUGAGGGGUUAGGCCCAGUUUGAAAAUUAGGCCAUAGAUUGGCCAUUGUUUGGGCCUUUAUGUUUAUGUGAUAUUGGACCAUAGAAAUUGGAUUGAAAUAAUUGGGUGGGCCUUAAGGAAAGACCAUGUAGAGGUCUGGGCCCAAUUUGGAAAAUUGGGCCAUAUGUUGGGAUUUGGCCCAUGAUUUGACUUUUGUGCUUGGAACCCAAUUAUUAAUUGGGUAUUGUUUGACGUUGACAGUUCGGGAAGCUUUCAAUUAGCGGCUGGAGUUUAUUAUGCGGGACUUUGUCAGUGCCAGGUGAGUUCUCCUCACUAUAUCAACAAGGUCUACGACACCAAGGCCGACCCUUUUUGGAUUUGUAUAUGGGUUAUUGCAUGCCAUGCUUAUUGAUUUUUAUCCUGGUAGUUAGGAUGGUGAUAUGCCUAGUGACCUGGUAGGUCGGUAUCCUGGUAUAUAGGAUAAUGCUAUGUUAGUGACCGGUUAGGUCUGUAUCCUGGUUAUAGGAUGUUGUUAUGCUAUUUGAUCUGUUAGAUCGGUUUGACUGUUAUGAAUGCUAGCGUAUGAUAUUUACGUUCACAUGUUUGGUUGAUUUGGGGUUGGGUUGAGGCGGUCCUGCUGUGUGCUGUAGGCUAACAUACCCAGGAUGGUCCGGAUAGACUACAGGCCCAGGAGGGUAUGUCAGUCAGACCGAAGGCCCAACGAGCGGUCCGGACAGGCUGUAGGCCUUGCGAGGCGGUCCAGAUAUGUCGAAGGCUCGGGAGCGGUCCAGAUAGGUUGUAGUCCCUGGUGAGGGCGGUCUAAUUAGGCUGAAGGCUCAUUAUGCAUGUUGUUUGCUGUUUGUUUAUAUGUUAUACGAUAUGGUUAUAUCAGAUGGUGUUGGUAUUUGGGGGUAACUCACUAAGCCUUCGAGCUUACAUCUAUCGAUUAUUAUUUCAGGUAUUUCUGAGGAUUGCAUGAAGGCAAAGGCGUGAUCGUGCACCUCCUGUAACAGCCCGAAAUCUCAGUCGACUGAGAGGAACCCUAAACGGCUGUGGACAUCUAGAGCAAGAUUGGAGGAUAUUAGGGCUUGAAGAAAUUAUUGGGCAAGGAGGAGAAGGGUUUUGGCUAAAGGAACAGCAAGGGAUUCGAGUUCUGUGGUUUGGAGACACAGAGAGGGCAUAUUCCACGGAGGUUGUAGGUCGUCGGUUGUGCACGAGUCAUUUCAGGAGUUGCUAGCUUUCAGCAUAUACGAGGU